CGCGGCCUAUCAGCUUGUUGGUGGGGUAAUGGCUCACCAAGGCGACGACGGGUAGCCGGCCUGAGAGGGUGACCGGCCACACCGGGACUGAGACACGGCCCAGACUCCUACGGGAGGCAGCAGUGGGGAAUAUUGCACAAUGGGCGAAAGCCUGAUGCAGCGACGCCGCGUGAGGGAUGACGGCCUUCGGGUUGUAAACCUCUUUCAGCACGGAAGAAGCGAAAGUGACGGUACGUGCAGAAGAAGCGCCGGCUAACUGCGUGCCAGCAGCCGCGGUAAUACGUAGGGCGCAAGCGUUGUCCGGAAUUAUUGGGCGUAAAGAGCUCGUAGGCGGUUUGUCGCGUCUGCUGUGAAAGCCCGGGGCUUAACCCCGGGUGUGCAGUGGGUACGGGCAGACUUGAGUGCAGUAGGGGAGACUGGAAUUCCUGGUGUAGCGGUGAAAUGCGCAGAUAUCAGGAGGAACACCGAUGGCGAAGGCAGGUCUCUGGGCUGUUACUGACGCUGAGGAGCGAAAGCAUGGGGAGCGAACAGGAUUAGAUACCCUGGUAGUCCAUGCCGUAAACGUUGGGCACUAGGUGUGGGGAACAUUCCACGUUUUCCGCGCCGUAGCUAACGCAUUAAGUGCCCCGCCUGGGGAGUACGG
rnacentral:rRNA from 1 species